AGUGAACGCUGGCGGUAGGCCUAACACAUGCAAGUCGAACGGCAGCACAGGAGAGCUUGCUCUCUGGGUGGCGAGUGGCGGACGGGUGAGGAAUACAUCGGAAUCUACUCUGUCGUGGGGGAUAAUGUAGGGAAACUUACGCUAAUACCGCAUACGACCUACGGGUGAAAGCAGGGGACCUUCGGGCCUUGCGCGAUUGAAUGAGCCGAUGUCGGAUUAGCUAGUUGGCGGGGUAAAGGCACACCAAGGCGCCUAUCCGUAGCUGGUCUGAGAGGAUGAUCAGCCACACUGGAACUGGGACACGGUCCAGACGCCUACGGGAGGCAGCAGUGGGGAAUAUUGGACAAUGGGCGCAAGCCUGAUCCAGCCAUACCGCGUGGGUGAAGAAGGCCUUCGGGUUGUAAAGCCCUUUUGUUGGGAGAGAAAUCCAGCUGGCUAAUACCCGGUUGGGAUGACGGUACCCAAAGAAUAAGCACCGGCUGACUUCGUGCCAGCCGCCGCCGUAA
rnacentral:rRNA from 1 species